rnacentral:rRNA from 1 species
AUUGAACGCUGGCGGCAUGCUUUACACAUGCAAGUCGAACGGUAACAGGGAGCUUGCUCCGCUGACGAGUGGCGAACGGGUGAGUAAUGCGUCGGAACGUGCCGAGUAGUGGGGGAUAACGCAUCGAAAGGUGUGCUAAUACCGCAUACGAACUGAGGUUGAAAGUGGGGGACCUUCGGGCCUCACGCUAUUCGAGCGGCCGACGUCUGAUUAGCUAGUUGGUGAGGUAAAGGCUCACCAAGGCGACGAUCAGUAGCGGGUCUGAGAGGAUGAUCCGCCACACGGGGACUGAGAAACGGCCCAGACUCCUACGGGAGGCAGCAGUGGGGAAUUUUGGACAAUGGGCGCAAGCCUGAUCCAGCCAUGCCGCGUGUCUGAAGAAGGCCUUCGGGUUGUAAAGGACUUUUGUCCGGGAGCAAAUGCUGGUGGCUAACAUCCACCGGAGCUGAGAGUACCGGAAGAAUAAGCACCGGCUAACUACGUGCCAGCCGCCGCCGUAACAC